rnacentral:rRNA from 1 species
UAUGGUAAUUGCCAGCAGCCGCGGUAAUACGGAAGGUCCGGGCGUUAUCCGGAUUUAUUGGGUUUAAAGGGAGCGCAGGCGGACCUUUAAGUCAGCUGUGAAAUACGGCGGCUCAACCGUCGAACUGCAGUUGAUACUGGAGGUCUUGAGUGCACACAGGGAUGCUGGAAUUCAUGGUGUAGCGGUGAAAUGCUCAGAUAUCAUGAAGAACUCCGAUCGCGAAGGCAGGCAUCCGGGGUGCAACUGACGCUGAGGCUCGAAAGUGCGGGUAUCAAACAGG